rnacentral:rRNA from 1 species
GAGUUUGAUCCUGGCUCAGGACGAACGCUGGCGGCGUGCUUAACACAUGCAAGUCGAACGAUGAUGCCCAGCUUGCUGGGUGGAUUAGUGGCGAACGGGUGAGUAACACGUGAGUAACCUGCCCCUGACUCUGGGAUAAGCGUUGGAAACGACGUCUAAUACUGGAUAUGACCGCCGAUCGCAUGGUCUGGUGGUGGAAAGAUUUUUUGGUUGGGGAUGGACUCGCGGCCUAUCAGCUUGUUGGUGAGGUAAUGGCUCACCAAGGCGACGACGGGUAGCCGGCCUGAGAGGGUGACCGGCCACACUGGGACUGAGACACGGCCCAGACUCCUACGGGAGGCAGCAGUGGGGAAUAUUGCACAAUGGGCGAAAGCCUGAUGCAGCAACGCCGCGUGAGGGAUGACGGCCCUCGGGUUGUAAACCUCUUUUAGUAGGGAAGAAGCGAAAGUGACGGUACCUGCAGAAAAAGCACCGGCUAACUACGUGCCAGCAGCCGCGGUAAUACGUAGGGUGCAAGCGUUGUCCGGAAUUAUUGGGCGUAAAGAGCUCGUAGGCGGUUUGUCGCGUUUGCUGUGAAAUCCCGAGGCUCAACCUCGGGCUUGCAGUGGGUACGGGCAGACUAGAGUGCGGUAGGGGAGAUUGGAAUUCCUGGUGUAGCGGUGGAAUGCGCAGAUAUCAGGAGGAACACCGAUGGCGAAGGCAGAUCUUUGGGCCGUAACUGACGCUGAGGAGCGAAAGCGUGGGGAGCGAACAGGAUUAGAUACCCUGGUAGUC